CUUGGUGCUCUGCUUCUACUGAUAUUCUGAGGCUUCAAACAUCCUGUGGAAUCUCAACCAUCAAAAUUGGAAAGGUUAGCUAGAAAACUAGAAGAGUGUUUCCGUUACAAGAAAGAUAGUGACAAAGAGUCAAAAGAGACUCCAAAUACUUCCUUGGGGUAAGUAUCUCCAAUAUUAAUUACAUUUUAAACAGCUAAUUGUAUUAUUAGAAACCAAUUUGGUU
rnacentral:lncRNA from 1 species